rnacentral:tRNA from 1 species
UGGCUUAGUGGUAGAGCGCUUGCCUUGCAUGCAUGAGGCCAUGGGUUCGAUUCCCCA